GAUGAACGCUAGCGGCAGGCUUACCACAUGCAAGUCGAGGGGUAGAGUUAGCUUGCUAACUUGAGACCGGCGCACGGGUGCGUAUCGCGUAUGCAACCUACCUUGAACAGGGGGAUAGCCCAGAGAAAUUUGGAUUAAUACCCCAUGGUAUUAUUGGAUGGCAUCAUUUGAUAAUUAAAGUUCCAACGGUUCAAGAUGGG
rnacentral:rRNA from 1 species